rnacentral:miRNA from 1 species
GGUUCUUGUCCUGGGCUCCC